CCAGUUCCACCAAAGAUGGUAUUGUGGCUUCACAAACAGAUUUCCAUUCCUGUACGGAUCUUGAUUGUUGUAUUUAUCAUCCAACUGAUUUUUGUUAAUCCAGACGCAAGCGCAGCGCGAGGAAUCAGGCGACGCUACCCACUGCCAAGAAAAAAAAAGCUUAGUCCGCCGCCGCCUCCACAGGAAAGUAUUCAUGAUCGCAAAAACAACCCGAAUAUCAAGUUCGAACCUCCUCCGGGCUCCAAGCACUGACCAGCUGAUUCGGUUGCCCACUGCGUUGCGACCUCUACUUUUCGACGAUUUGUCUUUUCGACGAAUGAGAUUCACACAAUUGUAAAUUUCAGUCAUCUAUUUCAGUUUCAUGUUAAACUUCACGAAAAGUUUUCAUGUUUCAUAACAUUUCUCUUUGUGGAUUGCUAUCUCUCUAGAAACCGCCUUCUAUUGGGUCUCUUGUAGCCGGUCGGCAUAUUUUUAGGAAUAAGUGUAUAACCACAUACAAAUACACAAAUACUUAUACACAUUCAAUUACACUAGUGUGUGCGGUAACCACUCCUAUUGUGAUUGAGUGUAUGUAAGUGAUUGUGUGUAGUGGUGUAGCAUUGUCGUAUUUUCGGUGAUAAAUUAACGAAAAUAAGGCUAAUGAAGAUUGUGUUCUUACUUCGCACCCGUUUUAAUUAGUUUCUUAGUUUACUGUUGUAAGCUAGCUCCUAAUAAUUUCCUUGUAUCUCACUUGUAAUCAUCAAUAAUAUUAUUUCUUUGCUCUUUUU